ACAUUGCCAAAAAUGUUGUGACCAGUUUUGUUUUGUUUUUUGUGGCACCGGUCGCGUGACGUGGGCGGUAGGGGGAGACAGAGCGCUGUGUUUGUGAGCGAUCGCUCCUGCUCUCUCAGCACCGUUUUCUUUUCUAGGCCCUUGCCUCCUAAACUGGUCCACACUCUCUGUCAUCAGCACCACUGAGUCACCGCAGUUCGCUUUGAAUUAUCCCGCCGCAUGAAAAGAACAAGAAAGCUAUUUCCUGAUGUUUCCCUGUUCCUUUUCCUAGCACUCUUUGUUUGGAGGCACAAUGAGCUGAGGAGGCCUGUGUGGCAUCGAUCUUAUAUACAACACAACAUUUCCGGGAGUGAGGAGACUCAAAGUGCACAAGUAGCUUGGAAUACACAAUGCUUGCUAAGGUCCUCGACCCUACUAUCCAUUGCACAGCAGUGCAUGAUGGCAGCCAUCAGAAUCAUCAGAAUCCUCAGUAGCUUCUGCUGUUUAUCUUUUUUUAUUUCAUCUAACACAAUGAAAUAUCAGUUGGCAGUCAGUGACUCAUCCUCUUCAGCUCUUGUGUCAUUGGACCUCAUUGCUGAUUGUGAUUGGCUGCUGCGUCUGUG
ensembl:lncRNA